ACAAAUUAUUUCAAUACCUGCAAGGAGUUAAAAUAUGUUAAUAAAUAUUUACAAAGGUAAAUCUAUUCACAUUUUAUUUAAAAUAUACUUCAUCAGUUUGAAGUGUGUUGAAAAGUAAUGUUUAAAAUAUAGUGAUUCUUAUGCUUGACCCAAGAUGCAACCAAAGUUGGCACCACAUUCAUGAAGCAAGACUUAGGCAAAUAACUCUGUUAUAUAUAUCUAGCAAUAUGUGAAAUUCUUUCAGAGAUAACCAAAAAUUUUUUCAAAAAAUUAAUGAUUAACUCUUAAGCAAAUAUAUCAUAUUUUGCUUCUACAUGGGAGAGAGAAAUUACAACAUAUGCUUCUAAUUUAUUUAAUCUUGGUUUAUUGAAAGCAUACCUCUACUUUUCUGAAGGUUAUUUUCAUAAAUAGAUUUUGUGGAAGCACCUUAUAAGAGACUGUCACCCAAUGAUUCAUUAUACUAUUCCACUAGAAAAACUGAUUCACUUAAUCUGUGUUUUCUCCUGUCUGACCAUGAACCAGAGAUCAUUACUAUUUUUUGCAAAAGAGAGAGGUGGGUAGGUAGGUUGUGUGUGUGUGUGUGUGUGUGUGUGUGUGUGUGUGUGUGUGUCUUUUUAUAUUUUGGAUAAUUUUUUUAAAAACUGUGGAAUCUAGGGUAACUUUAUGCCCCAGUAUUCAUACUGAAAAGAACAGAUGCAGCAUUUCUCCAAACAGCUUCUCUCAGCUUCCAAAGUCUCCUCACAAGGGAACUAGAAGUCACAAAAAUAUCAUCUACAUGAUGUAGUCUGACAGAUUUUGGUUACAACACAAUUAUUUCAUAUUUUUGGCUCAUACUACUCUUCAGGAAGAAUAUGCAUAAUGUAAGCAUUUCCAUUUAAUAGAAUUUUAGCAACACCAGGCUCCCAUGUUUGGUUUUGGUUUUAAUCAUAUCCAGAACUAGAAAAAAUCAGAGUGAAUGCAGAGAUGUGUCUUUCUCUUGCUAAUCUAAAACUAUUGCAUCAAACUCUAUUUUCUUAGAGAUAUUUUUCAAAAACUCUUAGAGAUCUGUUACAAAGGUACUCUCUAAAGCUUCAUCUGAAGUAUUUUAUCACAACUGUUCAUUCAUAGUAUGUAGAUAAUACCAGAAUAUUCAGAUAACUCUUUAAUUAAAAAGUGACUUUAAGUAAUAUAUAAUAAGUUAGCAGUUGACACUCAGUAAUAAAAUUGUUAUCAUUGUUUUCCCCAAGGUUUUUAUGCUGAAAGAUACUGAAAAGCAUCAAGAAUCCACUUUGUAACAGUAUAUGCAAUAAGAACUAAUUCAAUUUAAUAGAGAUCACCACAGCAGUUGCUUUCUUUUCAGGGAAAUUA
rnacentral:lncRNA from 1 species